rnacentral:rRNA from 1 species
AACUAUUGGGCGUAAAGAGCUCGUAGGCGGUUUGUCGCGUCUGCUGUGAAAGCCCGGGGCUUGACCCCGGGUGUGCAGUGGGUACGGGCAGACUUGAGUGCAGUAGGGGAGACUGGAAUUCCUGGUGUAGCGGUGAAAUGCGCAGAUAUCAGGAGGAACACCGAUGGCGAAGGCAGGUCUCUGGGCUGUUACUGACGCUGAGGAGCGAAAGCAUGGGGAGCGAACAGGAUUAGAUACCCUGGUAGUCCAUGCCGUAAACGUUGGGCACUAGGUGUGGGGAACAUUCCACGUUUUCCGCGCCGUAGCUAACGCAUUAAGUGCCCCGCCUGGGGAGUACGGCCGCAAGGCUAAAACUCAAAGGAAUUGACGGGGGCCCGCACAAGCGGCGGAGCAUGCGGAUUAAUUCGAUGCAACGCGAAGAACCUUACCAAGGCUUGACAUACACCGGACCGGGCCAGAGAUGGUCUUUCCCCCUUGUGGGGCUGGUGUACAGGUGGUGCAUGGUUGUCGUCAGCUCGUGUCGUGAGAUGUUGGGUUAAGUCCCGCAACGAGCGCAACCCUCGUUCUAUGUUGCCAGCACGUGAUGGUGGGGACUCAUAGGAGACUGCCGGGGUCAACUCGGAGGAAGGUGGGGAUGACGUCAAAUCAUCAUGCCCCUUAUGUCUUGGGCUUCACGCAUGCUACAAUGGCCAGUACAAUGGGUUGCGAUGCCGCGAGGUGGAGCUAAUCCCAAAAAGCUGGUCUCAGUUCGGAUCGUGGUCUGCAACUCGACCACGUGAAGUCGGAGUCGCUAGUAAUC